UACUCGAGUGGCGAACGGGUGAGUAACACGUGGGUGAUCUGCCCUGCACUUCGGGAUAAGCCUGGGAAACUGGGUCUAAUACCGGAUAGGACGAUGGUUAGGAUGCCAUUGUGGAAAGUUUUUCGGUGUGGGAUGAGCUCGCGGCCUAUCAGCUUGUUGGUGGGGUAAUGGCCUACCAAGGCGUCGACGGGUAGCCGGCCUGAGAGGGUGUACGGCCACAUUGGGACUGAGAUACGGCCCAG
rnacentral:rRNA from 1 species